rnacentral:lncRNA from 1 species
CUUCAAAAUCCAAUUCUUCUUCCUCAUAACUAGAUGGAUCAAAUUCUUCUUCAACAUGUUCAAGGAUUAAUUCUUGAUUCCGUUAUUUGAAAAAUUUUAUACGUUUUCCUGCAUUUGGAAUUUUGAGUCUUGUUCCAUCUAAUUCCUUUAAUGCAUAUGUAGCAUUAUCUAAAACAUGUACAACCACAUAAGGCCCAAACCAACGCUUAGAGAAC